rnacentral:miRNA from 1 species
AGUUACAUUUUGGUCACUCAACUCUAAAAAUAGCUGCAGAGGUCCCCCAAUUAUGUAUGGUGUUGCAUUACUAGUCCCUUUCGUCAAGUCUGUCUAUUUUUCGGUUAAAUCCAUGGGUAAACUUGGAAAUUCAUUCAAAAUAUUUAUUAAAAAAAAUAAAAUAAGGGUUAUUUGUAGAGUGACCUCUGUAGCUAUUUUUGGAGUUGAGUGACCAAGAUGUAACU